rnacentral:rRNA from 1 species
UACAGAGGGUGCGAGCGUUGUUCGGAAUCAUUGGGCGUAAAGCGCGUGUAGGCGGCCAGAUAAGUCUGGUGUGAAAGCCCGGGGCUUAACCCCGGAAGUGCAUUGGAUACUGCCUGGCUAGAGGACGGGAGAGGGAAGCGGAAUUCUUGGUGUAGGGGUGAAAUCCGUAGAUAUCAAGAGGAACAUCAGAAGCGAAGGCGGCUUCCUGGUCCGUUACUGACGCUGAGACGCGAAAGCGUGGGGAGCAAACAGG